UCAAGAUUUCGAAUUAAGAUUCGAACCUUUUACGACGCACGCGCGGACGGCAGACGAAAUUAAUAACAUUAAGGGGAGAAACUGGCGGCGGUGGUGUUAUGUUACGACGCUUUUAAUAGCGCGGAAUUACGCGGACUCAUUGCAGACGGCACGAUAACUUUCGUUACAAUGAAGUGUCGCGUAUAUAUUUUUUGUUGCUCCGGUCGCGGCGCCUGGUUGCGACGUAAUAAAAAUGUCAGAGAUACAUUGCGGGGAAAUUGCAGUUUUCAGGAAUUAAAGUUAAUUUGUUCCGUGGAUUCGAGGCGUGCUCGUUGCAUGGAUUACUUGAGGACGUUUGAGUUUAGGAAUGGCAAAAUGUAAUUGGAAGAAGAUUACGUUCAAUUAUUGAAUGGUCCAUGCGCCCAACGGGAUGAUAACCGUCUUCGGUUAAUAAAGUGACUGUUACAUAUAUUUUCUCAGGUGGAUGCGCGAUCUCAGCUGUAAACGUAUUUGCUGGUCUGACGCGAAGCGCGUUUAUCCGGAUAAGCUGAUUGGAGUACAGAAGCGAGGAGUGUCCACACGAUUAAAGUCCCGUUAUAGAGAUUAACUCUCCUAAAGUCUUACAUUCAUAUGUCUCCCGAUUAAGCGGUGCUUAGUUCCUCUCUAUCUAGAUUGAAUCGCGUUUAGUUUUUGUACGCGUUAUCGUUCGCCACAAACAUUCGUGCCACAAACAUGAAAGAAAAUUUUAUAUCAAAUAUUAAUAUAUACGAUAGUAGCUACGGACCAUAAGAAGAUAUUUGAAAGAAUUAUAAAAUAAGUCUAAAUACUAUAAUAAUUUGAAAAGCAUAAUAAAAAUUUUCAUAACUUUUUCCUUGGUUUGCGUUUACUAUUUAUCAUAAUUUUACAAUAAAAUAAUUAGAAAAUUUUCUCCGUAUAUACUUAACAAAAAUUUGAUACUCGCAAUCUAAACGGGCUUAGCUUCUUCACGCACAAUUUUGUUUUAUUUGAAAAAUAUUUAACAUUGUCUUGUUCUGAAAAUAAAAAUUCGAGAAAUAUAAUCAAUUCACGCGCAUACAAACGCAAACUCUGUCGAAGAAAUCCGCACGAAUCAGAAUCGAGACGAGAAAGAUUUUGGGACGUGGCAGCCCGUGGCGUCUGUUUAGACGGUAUUAGUCGUAUCAAGGUACGGGCUUAUGGCCCUCUCAUGAUCGCGCGCCGGCUUUUACGUGGAAGCUCAGAAAGCGAGGCUGCAAAUCCGCGUGGGAGACAACCGCGCGUCGCGACGGCCGCAAUCGCCGUCGCCACCAACGGCGAGCGCCGCCACAGUUUGCAUAUUUAUGACUGUUUAUAAUGUAUAAUUGACGGGAAUCCGCGUGCCACAUCGGGCCACGCGAAGCCACCGGGCCAGAAGCUACAUCGCCUUCUCCGUGAGCCUCCGAAUCAGAUUAGCGGCUUUGCAUUUCGGUCCGGCACCGACGAUUGCGAGCGCACCAGUUCCCGCGGUCCUCUUCUCCUCUUGCAUUAGUUUCCCGCCCCUCUCCCGUAUAUCUGUUACGUGUGGUCAACGUAGCGUCUGGAAAUAAUUCUGUAAAUUGUAUAACGGAUUCGCUCUUGAUUGCAAUCAGAGUCGACGUGUUAUUCAUAUUUCAGAAUCCAAGUUAGCGUUAUACGGAGGUGAUGGAAAUCGUGGCGGAGAUCAAGGUUUCAGAAUUUCUGAACGUCUCUUCAACGUUACGACAAUAAUCCCGAAUGUGAAGGAAAUAUAUUGAGAAUCGUUGAAUCGUGUGCAGUAUAGGGAGUAAAGCCUUCCAUUAUCAUGGAAGCCGUGCACUCAAGAGAAUGCCUGUAAAACGGCGGAUAACAACCGAUUCGGAGAGGCUACGGGCGUCCUCGAGAACUUUUAUCCCAGAAAACACAGUGCAACACUUUUCUUUUUAUUAGCACGAACAAUUCGGUUCCCCAGUCGGCGUUACCUUCGAGACGGUUUGACUGGGAGAAGCACGUGCAGCCUAUGAUUAUACUUAUCGCUCAUGCACAAGUCUGCAUAAUACAAGUAGCCGCGAUGCAGCCGUGUUUCGCUACACACGUAAUAACCGUUUUAAUCGGCGGUGGAGCCGCGAGGUUUCAUUGACGUUUUAUCGCGGCUGAUUAUUCUCGACACGCGAGCCUCUCUCGUGUCGGACAAACGAGCCGGAUAAACUCUUUACUGCCGUGGCGAAAGCUCACCUUUCGCGCGACCCGACCGUAAUCCGGCGCCGCUUGUAAAUUUCGCGAGGACACUUUUAUUCCCACGUGUACGUGCGUGUUUGCUUCAUUUUCUUCCCUCAUAUAAAUUUCACGUAUCUUAUUAAAGCCUCCAAUAAAGAGUAACAUUUAGAAAAUACGUCCCUUAUAAAUUUACGACCUACAAUGCGAAAGCUAUAUUCGAGAUCCCAUCACCGGGAGUAAAGUGGCAUAGUUGCCUCGCGGUAUUUCUCUUUUUGCGGAAUCGGCAAGACUGCGCAACGAGCCCGGCGAUGUUAAUUGCAAUUUUGAUCGGAGCUUUGUGCCUUCCUUUUCAUUUCACUCGCACCGGCACGACGAAUAUACCGCCCGAUACAUCCUCCUUCGGUUUUGCUUCUUUUUCUCUCUUCCACCUCGGUCGUCGGUCGACGCGCCGCAUACUAACAUCGAUACUCGAUCGCUAAUUACAGGGCUCCGCGGGAGGGCGAGCGAAAUCAUAGGGUUAAGGAAGAACUCCCUUAAUGGGCACUCCGGGGCCGCGCGCGGGAACCAGACGGACCCUCUUCCGGGAGAAGGGGGAAGAUGCCAGCUGCUUCUAAUUGAGACAUCAGUGUCGAUACAAACUGGCCGCCCAGGCGCGACGUGAACCGACGCGUGAAACGCAAAGGCGUGCCCUACCCCCUCCCCUCCCUCCUGGGAGUACACACGCACGUGAGUAGAUAGAUUGAACAACAACAUUGUACACGCGUUUUAGCGUAGCGUACAGUAUUCACGGCGGGUCUUGUGAUCGAACGGAGACGACCGGAAACGCACGUCGGUUCUCGCCGCUUCGCAUCGUUGCCGACCCAUUUCCUGUACGCAUGCGGUGGUUGGCUAUUUUGUCAGUCGAUAGUUAUCCAGCUAACGACUCUUAAUUUCGAAACGCAUGCGCCAAUCAUGCCGAAAGUUCUCAAUCGACCGUGUCAGCCAUUGUCCGCGGUCGAGUUCGUUUUUGCGCUUGGAAGUAAGGGUAUACAACGGUAACUAACUGCGGCAUUUUUGUGACGUGUUUUUAUUACGCGCACUAGUCACCCCGUGCGACGAAGAAACGUCAACGAAGAAAUAAAUUCUUCGUGACACCGUAAUUUAUUUUUCAUGUGAAAUUUCUAUUUGUUGAACUUGUGUUUUGGCAAAAAAGAAUUUCGCGUCAUAUUUCUACAUAAUAUAAAAUAUCCAGCACACGAUUGAGAACCUCUGUCGGUGGAUGGCAUUGUAAGCAGGAACGCAGUUUGAUCGGGUGGAAAGCGCAGUGGGACCGGGGCUUAUCAUGAGAUUGGCACUAGGACUAGUGGAAGUAAUAGACGGGAAACGGCAACAUAAAUAAUUCUGGAUUAAAACUUAUGGUCGUGCAACUUACGUUAGAGAACUGCAGCGUGGUAACUCAGUCUCCGUUAAUGGUAGAGAGUUAACUCUGAAAAUUCGAAACUACGAAAGAAGAUCAAGUUUUCGCGAGGGAUAAGUGCACGUUGCUCAAAGGGACGGCCAGUUCCGGAACACCGCGCGUAAAAGAGGUAAGGGAGUAAUCGGGUUAUGAUACCGGAGGGUUAAUUGCAUUUCGCCGCGGUUACAUCGGGAUUCCGUUUGCCCCACGGACUAGGAAACGAGAGCGUCAUAAUUAUUUCACGACGACGGCAGAAGCGAAUGCUCUCGUCGGCGUGCGACGGCAACCAGGGAAAAGAGACCGGACGAAAAGGUGCUCGUUCGCGCGAACGAAGGCGGGAUUGCGAUACCACAUAAGCGUCUCCGAGGUAUUUAAUUCACGUCAAAGUACAGUUCUACUGUACGAAAAGGGAAUAGGACACCGAGGAGAGGAUGAGGGGGAGAGAGAAAGAGAGAGAGAGAGAGAGCAGCGGAAGGAAACGGAUCGCGAAACGUGGUAGGAUGAACAGUACCCAUGUUUCCCCUAACCGCAAUGACCAAGUGAAACAGCAGCCAGCCGACUCCUUCGCUCCGGUUAGCCUUGUGCACGGAUACGUCUUACGAUCCAACAGGGUCCUAUGCGCACGUGUUUACACGUGUAAACCUGUACGUUUUCCGCGAGUGUCCGCGUAGUUAGCGAACUCGAUCGCAGACCCCUUGUUGAUUACACCGCUUGCACUGUUAACCAGCAAAAGUGUUUAUUAUUACAAGUGGAUGAAGAAAGGAUGUUUCCAUCGAACGAUGUUUUUGAAGUUGAAAGAGAAACACUCCAUCGAAAAAGGGAAUGUGAAAGGCUGUGUGGUUGUUUCGUGAUACAUAAGAAGGAUGAUAAAGGAUGAAGUAUAACAGAAGUACUUAGCUCUUGUCUAUUCUUUGUUCAGCUUGAUUGUCCCAUUUGGUGUCAGGUUGAUGUUACAAAUUCAUGGUUACGACACCGAAUCACAAAGGUCGGACCGUGAUCAACUGUAGGAAACCACGAACGAUGCGAAUGAACUUGAUUAAUUGCUCGGCUGAGUCACGAAUUAGCGUGUGAAUGACGGAACACGGGUGCAGAAUCGAGAGUGAGAGCGGCUGGCUCGAAGUGAGAACGAAGUGACGAAGGAGAGUCGAGUGGGCACGACAGAAACUUUCGACCCGUUUCAUUCGGCCGGUCGAGCACCAAUAAACAAAUCACUUUGCCCGAGGAGUGCCCCUAUUGCGCGUGAGUCGAUUGAUUUACUCGAUUAUAAUAGUCAGCUUACGUAACAAAUUAGAACAAUUUUUGUUCGAGCUUUUGCAAUAACACUUGCCCGGCAAAAUGCGCAAAGAAAAUAACUUUAAAAAGUAUGGCAAUCCGUAUAAUUUUAUAGAAAUAAUUAUAAUUUUAUUUUGACUUAUGGAAAGAUUUUAUUUAGAUUUUAUCGAAAUAAUUAUAAUUUUAUUUAUAUAAUUUUCAUUAUAUGUAUGGACAGCAGCAGGAAAACUAAUAAACAAAAUAUUGACUAGAAGAUUAAUAGAAGGUAUGUCUGAAAAAUAUAUUUACAAUGUUUGCACAAUGGCUGUAAGAGAAGAACAAAAUGCAAAAUGAGCAGAUCUGUUACCAUUCGAAUUUGCUAACGUGGAAUAAAUUAACUUGGCGUUCAUUAAUUCACUGAAGAGAAUCUUAACUUUUUACUCCGGUGACGAGCUUGGAGCUUUCAAAAGGAAGUGUACGUUGGAACAGUGGGGAAGAACGACGAUGAUGCACUUAAAUACACGGAGCCGUCCCGGUUUGCCACGCUUGCCUAGUUGCCAAUGCGCUGCAUUAGUAAGUACUAAAUACAUUAAUUAUAUUAGUGCGCCUUAGACGGCGCAGCCCCGUGACCUAGUUUACCCGUUUCGCUCGCUAUUCAGAGAUUUGAAUAUGGUAUCAAGGCGCGGAGGGAGGGAGGGACGAAGGGAGCUUGCGCUAGAGGCGGCGUGGCCCCCCGAUCGCGUAUCGAUCCCGCGAUCGGUUCAAUGCGUGCGCGCUCGUACGAAUCGUGCCCCAAAUUAAUUAUGCCCGACUAGCGUAGAGUUUGCCCGGGCGGUUUACCCGGUAGUAACGAUGAUUCGCGUGAACGUACACACGAUACGCCAACGUUAAAGGGCAUAGUACAUACUUAAACGAUUUGUAGCGGUCGUUAAUUCGGAUGAGCUCGUUACAAAGACACGAAUUUGUCUCCUCCGCGGGGUAACGGACUUGCAAGAAAGAAAGAAAGAAAGAUCCUACGUGAUUCAACUGUAAUUCGAAAACGAAAUAUAUUUAGAAAUAAAAGUACGCGUUUUUAUAUGUUUGUUACAAAAUGGAUCAGGUUUCUGAAUCAGGUGUUAUUACUGUAAUAUCGCCAUUUACACGCACCGUUGAUUCUCGACAUCUCUUUUAUUAGGCUCUGCAUACACAUUUGCACGCAUUCAAUAAGGGGUUAUUAUUAUUAUUAUUAGUAUUUUCCCCGUCUUAAAAUCCCACCGUAAUAGUCCCGCAGUCUUAUCACGCAGCUUUGCGCCCGUCGUUUGCUCCCUAUUUAAAAGGGGCUGCUUUCCACGUCGGAAGCUGCUUUAAAUCCCAAAGCGCGACGGGGUGUUACGCCACCGCGCCGCGUUGUUAUUACACCGUGCCGAAUCGCGACGUUCGAUUCUGCAUGCGGGGGAAGGGGGGAGGGGACAGUGGAGAAGCGGUAACAUUUUUAAAUUCAAGAUUAAAACGCGGCGAGUCCCCUCGAGAGCGGCGGGGCGCGAAGGGAAAUGGAUUUUAUCUUCUCGCCGGGCGAUAUUAUCGCGUGGAACUAUUUUUUAUCCCCGGCGGGCCAGUGGGACGGAGCGAGGAGCGAGGACGAAUGACGGAGAAAUCGCCCUCCUCCCCCGCGUCCGCCUCGCGUUGAUUAGUUCUGUUGCGAUAUCUCUCGGCCCCGCACCUUUCGGUCCCCCGAGAAAACGGAGGCAGGAACGAGGAGGGUCUCCGCACCGCUCGCGAUUUUUCUUUCUCCAUUUCUCUCCCCGUUCCUCUCUUUUUCUCUCGCCGGAUACGAAUCUCCGUUCGUUCUCUGACAAAAAAGGAUUAGAUAGAGCAGAAGUUAUACGCGGGACAAUGUAAAACAUUGUAAUAAGCUUAUCCAGCCGCUGCUGGAAGGAUAACGGCAGAGCCGCGGCGUGUUAAAAGAUUACCUUAGAGCCCCCAGGAAAAUAAUCGAGAGGAAGUCCCAAAUCGACGGAAAACUUCGAGUUAAGAAUUUUUGGAAUUAUUACCUUUGGCAGCGAGCAGUUGUGGAAAAUUUUUACGCCACGUGCUCGCACUCCUUCACGUAAUUCUGACUUACUUUUUCAGUAAAUAAGCUCACUUCGGACUACGUUGACCGAGUGGCGAAUGUUUGGUUACAGGCCGUUUCCAAAAGAAUCACGUGCCAACGAUAAAGCGAGCGUGAUACUCGCGUUAGCGGCGAUCUACUAACGGCUUUACGGAAUGCCGGAUGAAAAAUCUUCUCGUCCGUGUCGCACCGUGCGCGGCGACAAUGUCGACAACGACGAUGUGAUUUACACCUUUCGGGACACGAAUCCGCGAACGUUGGAAUCUCACGACUCUCUCGUAACGUAGCGAUCUUGUCACAGCGACGUUUUAACGCUAAUGCUAGCACGACAAAAAUACGUCCCGAAGAAAAAGAUUAUAAAGUCUCAUCGUCAGUUUAUCAUUCGGAUUUUAAUCAAUUGUAAUUUGUUCAUUGUACCUUAAUUUUUGUAAAACCAAUGUAGCUCUUGUUAUGAAAUUUAUAUUUUCAAUAAGAAUUUAUUUUCAUUAUGUGACCAUUACUUUAUUAUUCGGUAGAUUCGGUCUAGAUUUGAACGAACCUGUAACGCAUCUUGUGAGCGAGUGGCGCGUUCGGGGUGAUAGAUAACGAGAUGGUCUCGCCCCUUAAUGCUCGCUUUCUCGCCAACUCCGGCCCGAUGCCGAUAUAUUAUUCGGCAUGUUGUUUUCCCGCCAAAGAUUGCUCGCCCCUUCCGCCACAACAGAAAUAGAAAUGGGGAAAGUGGCGAAAUAGUGAACGCGCGUAAAAACUCUCUAGGACCGCAAGGGUAAGUAAUCCAAUGCUGUAUCGAUCGAUUGCUCUGUUUCUCUUUAAAGAGACUUUAGCGAGAGAAUAGAAUCAUUUACAAAAUGUCGAUAUUUCAAGUAAUAAAUUCUAGUUCCAGAGAAUAAAUAAUACUUUAGAAUUAUUAAUUUAGAAUUGAAAAUUUAAUAUCGUAAAUGGAAAGACAUUUGUCGGUGUGUGGACAAUAAAAAAUUGAUAUUCUCCUAGUUGUAUAUGUUCUUAUAAUUUUAUAAAAUAGUAGAUUUUUCAACUUCUGCGUAAUCAAAUUUUACUUUUUCUGAAUACAAUUUUAGAAACAUUAAAGAUAGAAACUCAAUUAUACGCCAUUUUACACAAAUGUUAACGUUCCGUAUCAUGGUAACUAAGCUCUGUAUUAUGCUUUUAAGAUAAGGACCACUUGAAAUUAAUACCAACAUAAGAUUUUGUUAUAUAUUUACAUUCCCGAAGUUUGUCUACCCCGAAAGACAGAGAGAGAAAGAGAGAAAGAGAGAGAGAGAGAGAGAGAGAGAGAGAGAGAGAGAGAGAGAGAGAGAGAGAGAGAGAGAGAGAGUCCCCUUAAUUUGCAAUUCUAUAUAAAGUUCGUAAUUAUAAUUCGGUUAAGAUUUUCGCAGAAGAGGAAAGUUAACCGGAAGUUUGCGAGGAGCAUUCCUGAAAUUUUCUGCAAACGCUACAAAAUGCCGUGUAUUAUCUCGAAUCUUGAAGAGUGCUACAUCGAAAGGUAAGAGGAGAGGGGUGAUUUUUAGAUCGAGUUAUAUGUUGCACGGAGAUAUAUUAUCCCUAAGCCAUUUUUCUUGAAAAACUCCCUAGUAUCGAGCCCAUGAAAAGGAUAAAGUGGUUGCUGUAAUAUAACGUCAUUGUACCCCAUGAUGGAAAUCAGGUCGAAAGAAAGAGAGGAGGGAGGGAGGGGGGGGACGAAAGAGAGUGAAGCCGCAGAGAAUCGCGGGUGGCUGACUGAAUUUACGUACGAGGAAGGGCGCGCUUUUGAGAUUCGCGGGGAUUGAAAGCUCGAUCUCUCUAGCUCGUGCAGUC